GCCGCCUUAGCUCAGUUGGUUAGAGCGCCUCUUUAGUAAGGAGGAGGUCAUUGGUUCGACUCCGAUAGGUGGCA
rnacentral:tRNA from 1 species